rnacentral:lncRNA from 1 species
CACUCACGUGGUGGAGAGGCGGGGCAAUAGUUGGAGAUGAUUGGUUCUGAGAAUUGGCUGUGAAAGCGGCAUUGCUGACCAGUGAGAGAGACCUAAUGAGGAGCAGGCCGGGGCAACCAAUGAAAUCGGAGAAGAGCGCUUGGGGGCGUGUCCGCCUGCUUUCAGCCUUUGGCAAGUUGGUGGGAGGUGAAAGUGACUUGGCCUCUUAAAAGCGUUUUUUUCACCUAAAAUCAGUCAUCUUCCUGCGAAGGCAUGAGGAGGAAAAGAGAGGAAGUAACUGAGCGAUAAUAUGCUGUAUGAGCCUCCUGCUCUGCUGCCCAUUACCUGCGUCACCUCCACAAGCUACUGAACCUCAAGGAACCCAUCUCCUCAUCAGGAAAAAAAAUAAGCUUUAUGUAG